GGAAUAUUGGACAAUGGGCGAAAGCCUGAUCCAGCCAUGCCGCGGGUGUGAAGAAGGUCUUCGGAUUGUAAAGCACUUUAAGGUGGGAGGAAGGGCAGUAACUUAAUACGUUGCUGUUUUGCCGUUAACGACAGAAUAAGCACCGGCUAACCCUUUGCCAGCAGCCGCGGUAAUACAGAGGGUGCAAGCGUUAAUCGGAAUUACUGGGCGUAAAGCGCGCGUAGGUGGUUUGUUAAGUUGGAUGUGAAAGCCCCGGGCUCAACCUGGGAACUGCAUCCAAAACUGGCAAGCUAGAGUACAGUAGAGGGCGGUGGAAUUUCCUGUGUAGCGGUGAAAUGCGUAGAUAUAGGAAGGAACACCAGUGGCGAAGGCGACCACCUGGACUGAUACUGACACUGAGGUGCGAAAGCGUGGGGAGCAAAC
rnacentral:rRNA from 1 species